UACGUAGGGUGCAAGCGUUAAUCGGAAUUACUGGGCGUAAAGCGUGCGCAGGCGGUUUUGUAAGUCUGUCGUGAAAGCCCCGGGCUCAACCUGGGAAUUGCGAUGGAGACUGCAAGGCUUGAAUCUGGCAGAGGGGGGUAGAAUUCCACGUGUAGCAGUGAAAUGCGUAGAGAUGUGGAGGAACACCGAUGGCGAAGGCAGCCCCCUGGGUCAAGAUUGACGCUCAUGCACGAAAGUGUGGGGAGCGAACAGGA
rnacentral:rRNA from 1 species